UGGUUGGAUGCCUAAGCAGCAGGUUUUCGAACCUAAUUAAACUUAUUUAGUGACCUUGGGGACAAGUGAGGAAGGUGCUAUAACCUGAGGAAAGCAAGAAUUUCAGCAGGCUUGCGACCGGGUCUUGGAGUGCUUUUCGCUGACUUAUAGAGGCUUUUAGAGGCUUAACUUGAGGAUCGGAGCCUUGUUGAGCAGUAUAUUGGGACUUCGUGUGACUAAUUGGAGCUUCAUAAUAGAGCCAUCUACAGGAG